AAGUAUAAAGGUACAGCCUGCCCAGUGAAAAACUUUAACGGCCGCGGUACCCUAACCGUGCGAAGGUAGCGUAAUCACUUGUCUUCUAAUUAAAGACCCGUAUGAACGGCUACAUGAGGGCUAAACUGUCUCCCACAACUAGUCAUGAAACUGAUUUUUCAGUCCAAAAGCUGAAAUAAACCCCCAUAAAGAAGAAACCCCGCGAGAAUUUUAAGCAGCCUACUACCUCUUAAACUAAGCCGCGCCGAGCGGCACUACAAAACAAAAGUUAAAGGUGCGCUUUUAGUUGGGGCGACUUCGGAGCAAAACAAAACCUCCGCGAAUAAGCUAAAACCUGAUUUUAGGCUGACGAGCCAACAAUAUAAACUCAUUGACCCAGUAUGACUGAUCAACGAACCAAGUUACUCCGGGGAUAACAGCGCCAUCCUYUUAAARAGUCCCUAUCGCCAAGAGGGCUUACGACCUCGAUGUUGGAUCAGGGCAUCCUGGCAGUGUAGCCGCUGCCAAGGGUUCGUUUGUUCAAC
rnacentral:rRNA from 1 species